UGGCGAUGUAUACUUUCGGCGGGAAACACAUUCCUCGUCCAGCAAUCCAGCGGUCUAUAUCAGUCAGCAGUGGUCGAUUUGUAUGGCUACGAUACGUGUUUUUCGAACAGUUUUAUGGUGUUACGUGAAUAUACAUGAUAAUGUAAAGGGUAUAUAAGAAGAGACAACUAUUUUUCUAACCUCAAGAAAUUCUUGCACGUUGUUUGUAAAUCGAUAAAAGGCAAACAGAUAUAGUUUAUCAUCAAGAUAAUUACCAUAGUUUCAGGACAACGCUGCUUCAUUUAUAUCAAGAAAAUGGCCUCCCCACGAAAAUUCUACAAUAAUCCAUUUACAAUCUGUAUAGAAGGAAAUAUUGGAAGUGGUAAAACAACAUUUUUGAAUCACUUCCAGAAUUUUAACAAUGCUACAAUUUUACAAGAACCAGUGGAUUUAUGGCGAAAUGUGGCUGGAGUGAAUUUACUGGAUCUCUUGUACAAAGACCCAAUAAAUUACGCCUUUCUAUUUCAAUCGUAUGCUCAAUUAACUAGGCUAAAAUUACAUACUGUGAGCACACCGUCACCCUAUAAAGUUAUGGAAAGAUCCAUAUUUAGUGCAAGAUGCUUUUUAGAGAAUAUGAAACGUACAAAUAUGAUACGGGACGUAGAGGUGGUAGUUUUGGAAAAGUGGUACAAUUGGUGUAUGGCAAAUACUGAUAUAAGAGCAGAUUUAAUAGUAUAUAUAAGAACUACGCCAGAAGUUGUAUAUCAAAGAAUGCAGGCACGUGGACGCAAAGAAGAAGACUCUGUAUCAUUAGAAUAUCUAAGACAAAUCCAUGAAAUUCACGAUGACUGGCUCUAUAGGCAAACUUUAUUCUCUUUACCAGCACCGGUUAUGAUUAUAGAUGGUGACAAAAGUCUCGAGGAAAUGGUGCCACAAUUUGAGAAAUGCAAAGAUCGGAUACUUAAACAGAAAACUAGCACAUCAAAUACCACAAAUUCAAUAAUUCUAGAUACUAAAGCAUAAUUACUCGCAAUAUAAUGCCUUGAACUUGCCACGACUUGAAUAUUGUACUUUUUUAAUAGAUAAUUAUAGGUUUAAUAUUAUAAUUUUAGUUUUUAUGACUUACCUUCAGAAAUUGAAAUGAUACUGUGUUUUGGAAAGGUGGGCUGAUUGUCGUUGAUAUCGAUUACUCGCACGCUCAAUGCAGCUGUACCGGUUAAUUGUGGAUUUCCUUGAUCG